GAUGAAGAACGUAGCGAAAUGCGAUAAGUAGUGUGAAUUGCAGAAUUUAGUGAAUCAUCGAAUCUUUGAACGCACAUUGCGCCCUUUGGUAUUCCUUAGGGCAUGCCUGUUGGAGCGUCAUCUACACCCUCAAGCACAGCUUGGUGAUGGGCGCCUGUCCCGCCCCCCACGGGGGCGCGGACUCGCCUCAAAUGCAUUGGCGGCCGGCGACCUGGCUUCGAGCGCAGCAGAAACGCGUACUCGGGGACCGGGCGCCCGCUCCCAGAAGCCAACCCACCCAGUUUGACCUCGGAUCAGGUAGGGAUACCCGCUGAACUUAAGCAUAUCAAUAAGCGGAGGA
rnacentral:misc_RNA from 1 species